AUGAAAAGCAGAAGAUAACAAUUUGAUCUAAACAUACAAAGACUGAUCCAACGCCGCCGUCCGUGGCGCAUUGUUGAGAUUCUACAGCAGUGCGAAGGCGAAGUCGUCCGGCACCUCCUUCGGCAUCCCGACAAAGAAACCUAUAUCUCCUCGAGUUUUUAGAUCUCCUGUUGAGAUGAGUAGUAUCUCCAUCGCAUCGAUGCUUCCUUUUCGAGGCAGAAAAGUAUGCAUUUGAGGAGACAAAAAAAUGCAGAAGAUGAGUCUGGGAAACUUAUUAUUGAAGAUGAUGAUGAAAAGGAUGACGAUGAUGAGGAUGAUGAUGACAAAGAUGAAGAUGACGUUGAAGAUAAA